rnacentral:rRNA from 1 species
CCUACGGGUGGCUGCAGUCGAGAAUUUUUCUCAAUGGGGGAAACCCUGAAGGAGCGACGCCGCGUGGAGGAUGAAGGUUUUCGGAUUGUAAACUCCUGUCAUUGGUGAACAAAGCCUUGGGUUAACUGCCUAAAGGUUUGCUAGUAGCCGAAGAGGAAGGGACGGCUAACUCUGUGCCAGCAGCCGCGGUAAUACAGAGGUCCCGAGCGUUGUUCGGAUUCAUUGGGCGUAAAGGGUGCGUAGGCGGCGGGGCAAGUCUGAUGUGAAAUCCCGGG